AUUGAACGCUGGCGGCAGGCCUAACACAUGCAAGUCGAACGAGUGGCGGACGGGUGAGUAAUGUCUGGGAAACUGCCCGUUGGAGGGGGAUUACUUCUGGAAACGGUAGCUAAUACCGCCUACCUUCGGAUGUGCCCAGAUGGGAUUAGCUAGUAGGUGGGGUAACGUCUCAACUAGGCCACGAUCCCUAGCUGGUCUGAGAGGAUGACCAGCCACACUGGAACGGAGACACGGUCCAGACUCCUACGGGGGGCAGCAGGGGGGAAUAUUGCACAAUGGGCGCAAGCCUGAUGCAGCAAUGCCGCGUGUAUGAAGAAGGCCUUCGGGUUGUAAAGUACUUUCAGCGAGGAGGCGUUACUCGCAGAAGAAGCACCGGCUAACUCCGUGCCAGCAGCCGCGGUAAUUC
rnacentral:rRNA from 1 species